UUAACUUCAAUUUGUAUGGAAUUGGGACGUUUGCCUACGUUUGCCGCUAGAGGCGCUGUUCCAAUUUGCAUACAUAUUUGAGUUA
rnacentral:pre_miRNA from 1 species